AACGCGUAGCCAACCUGCCUUUAGCGGGGGGAUAACAUUCCGAAAGGGUUGCUAACACCGCAUAAUGCAGCGGGACCGCAUGGUCACAGUUGUUAAAGGUUUCGGCCGGCUAAAGAGGGGGCUGCGUGCUAUUAGUUAGUUGGUGAGGUAAUGGCUCACCAAGGCGAUGAUAGCUAGGGGGUCUGAGAGGAUGAUCCCCCACACUGGGACUGAGACACGUCCCAGACUCCUACGGGAGGCAGCAGUGAGGAAUCUUGCGCAAUGGGCGAAAGCCUGACGCAGCCACGCCGCGUGCCGGAUGAAGGCCCUAUGGGUUGUAAACGGCUUUUAAGCAGGAAGAACGUACGAGUUUCGAUUCGUAGUGACGGUACUGCUUGAAUAAGCACCGGCUAACUCCGUGCCAGCAGCCGCGGUAAUACGGAGGGUGCGAGCGUUGUCCGGAAUCAUUGGGUGUAAAGGGUGCGUAGGCGGGCGUCUAAGUCUGGGGUGAAAUCUUGCCGCUUAACGGUAAAAUGGCCUUGGAUACUGGGCGUCUUAAGUGUAGAAGAGGUAAGUGGAAUUCGUAGUGUAGCGGUGAAAUGCAUAGAUAUUACGAAGAACAUCAG
rnacentral:rRNA from 1 species